GAGGGAUUAGCUCAAUUGGUAGAGCAACCGUUUUACACACGGUAGGUUGAAUGUUCGAAUCAUUUUAUCCCUUAA
rnacentral:tRNA from 1 species